ACAACGAAUAAUGUCACUUUUCAGACAGACCUCCCCGGCACGGAACGUGUGAGGUCGGCCGGUGCGGUGGGGUGAGGCCAACACUCUCGUGGGACAAUGGAACUCUCGGAUCCUGCACCUGUUGUCUGUGCUUACGACGCGCAGGAGGAAACACCAUUCUUCCUCCUGCCUGCCUACGAAUGCGACUACAACCGACCUUGGUCCAUCCCCGUCCCCACUCCCAAUCGAGCGCGCUCAGUGAGUGCGCUGCGCUAGGAAACUAAUCAAGUGGAUCGGAGAUUAUGGGCUAAUGGCAGAGAUAAUUAAAAUUGUUUGUCUUCUGCUGAUGCUCUUCGCUCGGUCCGCCACGGGUUGUUGGGUGGUCCGGUUGGUUAGUUGGUGUGAAGAAGAUUCACAAUAUUGCCGGCCCGGCCAUGGCUGCGAUGGCGCUGCUGCUGGAGAGGUGUUUGUGUUGCUUCCGAGGGUGGUUAUCACUGGUGUGGGCUUAGAGCGAGCGGAUUACAGACAAUAACGAGAGCUAUAAAAUGCAGAAAAAUGAUGCCCUCUAACGAAGGCGGAGCGAGGCCAUGCAAGAAAAUGCUAUCGAACAACCUGGAGAAACUAAUUACGAAAGAAGUGUUUGAAGGAUUUAAAGCUAUUUCUACCUGGUGGUGCAGAUGGAUCGAAAAGGAUAUUAAUUUACAUGUUAAACAGGUAAAUUGAACGGGACGUUAGGCUAUCAGGAACGGAUUAAGUUGGUGUUGUGCACAAGUGCUCCCCGUCGAUGAUGCCAAAGUUGUUAACCGGAGAUGACGAUGAUGUUGUUGAUGAUGAUGGUGAUGAUGGUGGAGAAACGAUGGAAACAACAUCAAGGAAAUUCUGCUACAGAAGCUACAAUCUUCAUCCGAUGAACGGAUUGAGCACUGCGAGCAGCUGGAUUGUCAGUAGAAAGGAUUAAUUUAAGUUGUGCCUUCGCAGAAGUGGAUGAUUAAUUAUUUAUCCAAGCAUUUGAAAGUGGUUCGUCGUCAAGCUGAUGAGGAGGGAAAUCCCAGUUGAGAGGUUUUGAGGUUUCUGGCGUAGGUUGGAAAGAUUAUUGUCUAUCAGGAUUUGAUUCUGACAUUCAUAAGCAUAUUAAAUGAGUAGAAAACUAAAUCUGACUUCCACGUUUAUCCGAUUGAAACAUUUUUUACUUUAGUAAUUCUCAAUAAGCCAUUGUGAUUAGAAAAUGUAAUGAUGUCAAAUUCACUAGAGGAGUGCCGAUAAAGAUCUAUCGAGCUACCGGUGAAAUUCUUCGAGUGAUCCACUUUAUUUUUUUAGAGGCAUUCCUCUUUGAAUCAGUAGAUCAUUUCCAAAGAG